CCCUGACCACAGGGGGCAAGGACACC
rnacentral:piRNA from 1 species